rnacentral:rRNA from 1 species
CUACGGGAGGCAGCAGUGGGGAAUAUUGGACAAUGGGCGCAAGCCUGAUCCAGCCAUGCCGCGUGAGUGAUGAAGGCCCUAGGGUUGUAAAGCUCUUUCACCGGAGAAGAUAAUGACGGUAUCCGGAGAAGAAGCCCCGGCUAACUUCGUGCCAGCAGCCGCGGUAAUACGAAGGGGGCUAGCGUUGUUCGGAAUUACUGGGCGUAAAGCGCACGUAGGCGGAUAUUUAAGUCAGGGGUGAAAUCCCAGAGCUCAACUCUGGAACUGCCUUUGAUACUGGGUAUCUGGAGUAUGGAAGAGGUGAGUGGAAUUCCGAGUGUAGAGGUGAAAUUCGUAGAUAUUCGGAGGAACACCAGUGGCGAAGGCGGCUCACUGGUCCAUUACUGACGCUGAGGUGCGAAAGCGUGGGGAGCAAACAGGAUUAGAUACCCCCGUAC